rnacentral:rRNA from 13 species
GCCAACGCCCUGGCCGCGCUGAGUGCACUCGUUCCCGUCAAAUCACAAAAGUUAAGCAGAGCCGGACAAGGAUAGUACUUGGAUGGGUGAUCGCAUGGGGGAACUCCGUUGGCGAAGCGC